rnacentral:rRNA from 1 species
GAUGAACGCUGGCGGCGUGCCUAAUACAUGCAAGUCGAGCGAACAGACGAGGAGCUUGCUCCUCUGACGUUAGCGGCGGACGGGUGGGUAACACGUGGAUAACCUACCUAUAAGACUGGGAUAACUUCGGGAAACCGGAGCUAAUACCGGAUAAUAUAUUGAACCGCAUGGUUCAAUAGUGAAAGACGGUUUUGCUGUCACUUAUAGAUGGAUCCGCGCCGCAUUAGCUAGUUGGUAAGGUAACGGCUUACCAAGGCAACGAUGCGUAGCCGACCUGAGAGGGUGAUCGGCCACACUGGAACUGAGACACGGUCCAGACUCCUACGGGAGGCAGCAGUAGGGAAUCUUCCGCAAUGGGCGAAAGCUUGACGGAGCAACGCCGCGUGAGUGAUGAAGGUCUUCGGAUCGUAAAACUCUGUUAUUAGGGAAGAACAAAUGUGUAAGUAACUAUGCACGUCUUGACGGUACCUAAUCAGAAAGCCACGGCUAACUACGU